rnacentral:lncRNA from 1 species
CGGGACUACAGGCGCCUGUGCAAUCUCUAUGGUAACCACAUUUCCCAGCUGUCUACUACCGGUAAUAAAAUCAAAUGGAUUCAGUGCUCACAACUCUUCAGUCUUCGGGCUACUUUCCAUUCUUGAGUUUUUAGCUGAAUUCAUCUCUUUGGCUGGAUUUUAUGAAUCGGGCAGCCGUUAGAACCAAAACAGUUCUGAGGAACUCCCAGGCUGCAGUGUGGUGUGAAAUGUUUUAUGCACAGAAAAUGGAAAUGAGGUGCAGAAACUGGAGAUGAAAUUUCAGUCUUUAUUCAAGAUCAAGUGCAACUGUCUCUUUGAGGAAAGUCCUUUGACCCCCAUUUCUCCCCUUCAGAAGGCAAGCACCUGGGGGAGAAGAUCUGCUUAAGGACCUCGUAACUGACAAAGAAUGGAAUGGGAGCGAGAACUGCCUAGCCAUCCCUUCUCCUUGCACAGUCAUGAAACAAAGUUGAAAAGGAGCCUGGUUUUACUUGACCAGUCAUAAAUUACCAUAAAAUAAAAUGAGAUACUAGG